CUCUGGUGUUAAUUGGCCCACCAUAAUUCUUUAUUUCUUCUUUUAGGGUCCAUUAGUUGAUGAGACGUUGUCGUUUUGCAGCAUCGUCUCCUUCCAUUUCCAAAACGGAACGGAGGACUCAGGAGUGAGGAGUGACGAGUGAGGACUGAUCUGAGCUUUCGGUAUUGAUAAGAGGUUGCGAGCCCAACACUGCAGUCAAGUAAUGUCCAAGGAGAUGGACUUGUUAGCCUUCUUCAAUCGGGCUCUUACUUAAGAUCCUCUCUAAACCAGAGGAUGUCCGGUUCUUGGUGUGGGGUUUUACGGCAUCUUUGGCCAAAGCGUCGGGAUCACAGAUAUGGUGCAAGUGAGUAUGGGAGGACCUUGUUGUUUCCAUGGCGGAAAGGAGUGUCACAAACAUAGCUGCUAGCUAGCUCUACCAAGACCAUGAGCAACAUCCAAGAAGAACCACUCCAGGAUAAAAGAGCCGUGUUAGAACCAAGUAGCUACAACAUACAAAGCAAGCCUCAGGAAAUAACAAUUUACUCCUACCUACCAAAGCACAGAGGUCAACAACAAGGCCAGCAGUAAUCUCCGGGAUGCGGACGUCUGAGCAGAGUGAAACUGAUUGUAUUGGAUUGAUGGUGUUUGACCAAGUACAGGUUUACAGACCAUGGCGAGUUUCGUCAAGAACCACCCGUGGCCUAACGUUGAUGCUCAUAGUUGAGUGCUGCUGAACUAUUAUCGUCUAAUUAUUGAAAGAAAGAGUUAGAUACUACUACACUGUGCUUUUUGGCUGUCUCAAGGUAUCUCGUCAUCUGCUCACAGCUGAUAUGGGACCGGGAUCUUGGACUGCCACUAGAGCGGCCAAAGAGUGUAAACAUGUCCUCCCAAAGGUGAAACUUUGCAACUUCGUGGGGCUCUUAAGCUCUUCUACAUCUCUCAGAGUGAGUCUGUCCCAGCUCUUGAAAAAUAUUGUCCUUGGGAGUUCCAGCCCAACAAAUUUGAGAGAUAAGAGACAGAGAGAGAGAUCGUUCUAAUGGCGACAAGAGAGCAACAUGAUGAUGGUUCGAAUCUACUACUCAACAGAAUACAUGAAUUGUGUGGAGAAUUUAGGGUUCCUGGAACUUCAAACCUCAAAGCCAUGGGUUCCUUGCAACAACAAUAUAACGAAGUUUCAUUUUGUAGUUUAU